rnacentral:rRNA from 1 species
UACGUAGGGUGCGAGCGUUAAUCGGAAUUACUGGGCGUAAAGCGUGCGCAGGCGGUUUUGUAAGCCAGGUGUGAAAGCCCCGGGCUUAACCUGGGAAUGGCAUUUGGGACUGCAAGGCUGGAGUUUGGCAGAGGAGACUGGAAUUCCUGGUGUAGCAGUGAAAUGCGUAGAUAUCAGGAGGAAUACCGAUGGCGAAGGCAGGUCUCUGGGCUAGAACUGACGCUCAUGCACGAAAGCGUGGGGAGCAAACAGG